CUGCUGAAAACCACCUUAAAAGACUAUGAGAAGAAACGUCCCCACCAACCAACAGAGCAGAAACAGGUG